rnacentral:rRNA from 1 species
AGCGAACGCUGGCGGCAGGCCUAACACAUGCAAGUCGAACGAACUCUUCGGAGUUAGUGGCGGACGGGUGAGUAACACGUGGGAACGUGCCUUUUGGAUCGGAAUCACUCAGGGAAACUUGUGCUAAUACCGAAUGUGCCCUUCGGGGGAAAGAUUGAUCGCCAGUAGAGCGGCCCGCGUCUGAUUAGCUAGUUGGUGAGGUAACGGCUCACCAAGGCGACGAUCAGUAGCUGGUCUGAGAGGAUGACCAGCCACACUGGGACUGAGACACGGCCCAGACUCCUACGGGAGGCAGCAGUGGGGAAUCUUGCGCAAUGGGCGAAAGCCUGACGCAGCCAUGCCGCGUGAAUGAUGAAGGUCUUAGGAUUGUAAAAUUCUUUCACCGGGGACGAUAAUGACGGUACCCGGAGAAGAAGCCCCGGCUAACUUCGUG